rnacentral:rRNA from 1 species
GACGAACGCUGGCGGCGUGCCUAAUACAUGCAAGUUGAGCGCUGAAGGUUGGUACUUGUUCCAACUGGAUGAGCAGCGAACGGGUGAGUAACGCGUGGGGAAUCUGCCUUUGAGCGGGGGACAACAUUUGGAAACGAAUGCUAAUACCGCAUAAAAACUUUAAACACAAGUUUUAAGUUUGAAAGAUGCAAUUGCAUCACUCAAAGAUGAUCCCGCGUUGUAUUAGCUAGUUGGUGAGGUAAAGGCUCACCAAGGCGAUGAUACAUAGCCGACCUGAGAGGGUGAUCGGCCACAUUGGGAAUGAGACACGGCCCAAACUCCUAAGGGAGGCAGCAGUAGGGAAUCUUCGGCAAUGGACGAAAGUCUGAACGAGCAACGCCGCGUGAGUGAAGAAGGUUUUCGGAUCGUAAAACUCUGUUGGUAGAGAAGAACGUUGGUGAGAGUGGAAAGCUCAUCAAGUGACGGUAACUACCCAGAAAGGGACGGCUAACUACGUG